rnacentral:misc_RNA from 1 species
CAAUAACCAUGAGCAGUCGAAAUACAGUCAAAAAUUAAUUCCAAUACAACUUGUCAAAUCUAUAUCAGAAAUAAAAGGUAAACAUAAAACGACAAUGUUCACAUGCAUGCGGGCGUGCACAGGGAAUUUGGGGGAAGACAAGUACCAAUUUGCAAAAUUGGAUGUCAUUGGCAUCAGCCUCCAUAUACAGAUUCGGACAAUAAUGCAGACAGCCAUGCGCAUGCUUUUAUUCUGUUUUUCCAUGAAUUACUUAAACAGCUACUACUACUACUACCACUUUACAAACUCAAUCUGCUCUCAUCAUUCUCAAAAUGUGAUUCUUUUUUUCCUGAACAAAAUAUCCAGAUUCACGAAACAAAUUUCAUGCCAG